AUAAAUUCUAAACCUAAUAGAAUUCCUACAUAAUAAAUAUCUAAACUUCCUAAUUCUACAAUGGCUAUAAUUUCUAAGUUUCAUCCCCUUCCAUUACUGCGUCACUGCCCUAAUGGACCCUAAGGGUAUUCAUCUACAUAAUAUUUUUCAGUCUUUCUAGUCAAUAGUUUUCAGUGCUUCUUAAAUAUGAGCCUAGUGUGUUUCUGCUUGAAUACAAUAUGAUAAUUAUAUGCUAGUCUUCCUAAGAUGCUUGUAUCUAAUGUAAAUUAUUAUGUGACUUGAACUCCCUAAUUAUGAAGUACACUGUAUGGUUCAGAUUCCGAA
rnacentral:misc_RNA from 1 species